AUCCAGGGAUGGGAAUCGAACGCAACAGUGUUCCGCCUUCCGAGCAGAUGCCAUGUCCACUAGGCUACCCUGGU